AUGAACGCUAGCUACAGGCUUAACACAUGCAAGUCGAGGGGCAGCAUGGUCUUAGCUUGCUAAGGCCGAUGGCGACCGGCGCACGGGUGAGUAACGCGUAUCCAACCUGCCUUACACUCUUGGACAGCCUUCUGAAAGGGAGAUUAAUACAAGAUGUUAUCAUGAGUAAGCAUUUUCGCAUGAUUAAAGGUUUACCGGUGUAAGAUGGGGAUGCGUUCCAUUAGAUAGUAGGCGGGGUAACGGCCCACCUAGUCUUCGAUGGAUAGGGGUUCUGAGAGGAAGGUCCCCCACAUUGGAACUGAGACACGGUCCAAACUCCUACGGGAGGCAGCAGUGAGGAAUAUUGGUCAAUGGACGAGAGUCUGAACCAGCCAAGUAGCGUGAAGGAUGAAGGUUCUAUGGAUUGUAAACUUCUUUUAUACGGGAAUAAACGAAUCCACGUGUGGAUUUCUGCAUGUACCGUAUGAAUAAGGAUCGGCUAACUCCGUGCCAGCAGCCGCGGUAAUACGGAGGAUCCGAGCGUUAUCCGGAUUUAUUGGGUUUAAAGGGAGCGUAGAUGGGUUGUUAAGUCAGUUGUGAAAGUUUGCGGCUCAACCGUAAAAUUGCAAUUGAUACUGGCAGUCUUGAGUACAGUUGAGGUAGGCGGAAUUCGUGGUGUAGCGGUGAAAUGCUUAGAUAUCACGAAGAACUCCGAUUGCGAAGGCAGCUUACUAACCUGUAACUGACAUUGAUGCUCGAAAGUGUGGGUAUCAAACAGGAUUAGAUACCCUGGUAGUCCACACGGUAAACGAUGAAUACUCGCUGUAGGCGAUAUACGGUCUGCGGCCAAGCGAAAGCAUUAAGUAUUCCACCUGGGGAGUACGCCGGCAACGGUGAAACUCAAAGGAAUUGACGGGGGCCCGCACAAGCGGAGGAACAUGUGGUUUAAUUCGAUGAUACGCGAGGAACCUUACCCGGGCUUGAAAGUUAGUGACGAUUCUGGAAACAGGAUUUCCCUUCGGGGCACGAAACUAGGUGCUGCAUGGUUGUCGUCAGCUCGUGCCGUGAGGUGUCGGCUUAAGUGCCAUAACGAGCGCAACCCUUGCCGAUAGUUACUAACAGGUUAUGCUGAGGACUCUGUCGGGACUGCCAUCGUAAGAUGUGAGGAAGGUGGGGAUGACGUCAAAUCAGCACGGCCCUUACGUCCGGGGCUACACACGUGUUACAAUGGGGGGUACAGAGGGCUGCUACCACGCAAGUGGAUGCCAAUCCCAAAAACCUCUCUCAGUUCGGAUUGAAGUCUGCAACCCGACUUCAUGAAGCUGGAUUCGCUAGUAAUCGCGCAUCAGCCACGGCGCGGUGAAUACGUUCCCGGGCCUUGUACACACCGCCCGUCAAGCCAUGGGAGCCGGGGGUACCUGAAGUGCGUAACCGCAAGGAGCGCCCUAGGGUAAAACUGGUGACUGGGGCU
rnacentral:rRNA from 1 species